UACGUAGGGUGCAAGCGUUAAUCGGAAUUACUGGGCGUAAAGCGUGCGCAGGCGGUGAUGUAAGACAGGUGUGAAAUCCCCGGGCUUAACCUGGGAACUGCAUUUGUGACUGCAUCGCUGGAGUGCGGCAGAGGGGGAUGGAAUUCCGCGUGUAGCAGUGAAAUGCGUAGGUAUGCGGAGGAACACCGAUGGCGAAGGCAAUCCCCUGGGCCUGCACUGACGCUCAUGCACGAAAGCGUGGGGAGCAAACAGG
rnacentral:rRNA from 1 species